CAUAGAUACAGAGCCACUUGCUGCUCUCUCAGCACAACGGGAAAUAUCUCAAUGACUUGACAGGUUCUGGUUGUGAAUUCAGGCUACAAGGGCUCAGUGCUCUAAAAUGAGUCUCUCCGGGGAGAGAGAGGAGGGGGGUCCUGCCUCUAAAAUGAGUCUCUCCGGGGAGAGAGAGGAGGGAGGCCCUGCCUCUAAAAUGAGUCUCUCUGGGGAGAGAGAGGAGGGAGGCCCUGCCUCUAAAAUGAGUCUCUCCGGGGAGAGAGAGGAGGGGGGUCCUGCCUCUAAAAGGAGUCUCUUUGGUGAACAUGACACCAAAUGUAAGAGCCCAAUCAAGCAGGAGAGACCAGCCUCCCCUGUUCCCAGCUGUGUGUCCAUGAAGAGUGACUGGUCAAUGAGUCAACCUAUACAGUUUAGAGAGGGAGACUUUUCUACUGAACAAAG